rnacentral:rRNA from 1 species
AGUGAACGCUGGCGGUAGGCCUAACACAUGCAAGUCGAACGGCAGCACAGUAAGAGCUUGCUCUUACGGGUGGCGAGUGGCGGACGGGUGAGGCAUACAUCGGAAUCUACUUUUUCGUGGGGGAUAACGUAGGGAAACUUACGCUAAUACCGCAUACGACCUACGGGUGAAAGCAGGGGAUCUUCGGACCUUGCCCGAUUGAUUGAGCUGAUGUCGGAUUAGCUAGUUGGCGGGGUAAAGGCCCACCAAGGCGACGAUCCGUAGCUGGUCUGAGAGGACGAUCAGCCACACUGGAACUGAGACACGGUCCAGACUCCUACGGGAGGCAGCAGUGGGGAAUAUUGGACAAUGGGCGCAAGCCUGAUCCAGCCAUACCGCGUGGGUGAAGAAGGCCUUCGGGUUGUAAAGCCCUUUUGUUGGGAAAGAAAAGCAGCAGGUUAAUACCCCGCUGUUCUGACGGUACCCAAAGAAUAAGCACCGGCUAACUUCGUG